UACAGAGGGUGCAAGCGUUGUUCGGAAUUACUGGGCGUAAAGCGUGCGUAGGUGGUAUUGAGAGUCAUAGGUGAAAUCCCCAAGCUCAACUUGGGAACUGCCUGUGAGACCUCAGUACUAGAGUAUGAAAGGGGCUAGUGGAAUUCCACGUGUAGCGGUGAAAUGCGUAGAUAUGUGGAGGAACACCUGUGGCGAAGGCGGCUAGCUGGUUCAAUACUGACACUGAGGCACGAAAGCGUGGGGAGCAAACAGG
rnacentral:misc_RNA from 1 species